CUUGGUCAUUUAGAGGAAGUAAAAGUCGUAACAAGGUUUCCGUAGGUGAACCUGCGGAAGGAUCAUUGCAAAUCAUGGGCUGAGGGAAGGCACGGUGGGGAAGAAGUAAUUCUGAACCACUGCGCAUCCUCGGCCGACAUUUGGUCGGGACGCUCGUCCUGGAUCAUAUUCACGCUUGUGCUGUUUGACAGAGUAAAGACGCAGUUAAUGAGACAACUUUUAACAAUGGAUCUCUUGGCUCUUGCCCCGAUGAAGAACGCAGUCAAGUGCGAAAUGUAAUGCGAUUUGCAUGAAUCUGUGAGUCAUCUAAUCUUUGAACGCAACUUGCGCCCUCCAGCGAUGGAUGGCAUGUCUGUUUGAGUACGACAACCAACUGUGCCUUUUUGGUGCGAGGUGGCCUGCGUGCGGCGCAUGUUUUGCAGCGUGUGUUGUGCAGCGGGCUGAAAAGGAGCCAGUCAGGCUGGGCGGUCUGGCAGUGUGCUAGGGACCAAGGGGCAUGCGUGCGGGGACUGCGGAAUGUGGAGAGGUGCGGAUGGUGGACCAUCGUCUGCGCUGAUCUGCACUCUGCCCGCCGCGUUCGCAUGUCGCUGUCUUGUCGCUGCCAGCACCAACCAGCUCACACCACAUCUUCCGUCUCAAAUCAGGCAAGACGACCCGCUGAACUUAAGCAUAUCAAUAAGCGGAGGA
rnacentral:rRNA from 1 species